rnacentral:lncRNA from 1 species
GCUGGGAAACAAUCCAUCUGCUUAAAAUAUGAACAAAAUAUGAACAAAAUAGACAGACAUUGAUGUUUUAUCUUAUAUUCGACGUUAUUGAAUAUUUCCACAAGUAUUUAUUGCUAUCUGUUUUGGCUGACUAUUAACCACUUCAUUUCUCCACUACUUGGAGUAGUUGCCCAGCUUUAAAGCCAUAUUCGGACGGGAUUCGUUUUAUUGGGAAGGGAGCCAUGAAGAGGAGCUUGGAGUGGGCAAGGGAGAGGCUGAUAAAGCAGUAGAGAAGACAUGAUUCAUCAAGUAUCACAGUUAAUUCUGGUGAUUCUGACCUGGUUGGAAUGCGCAACACGGCAAGACACUUCAAUCCGACACUCUUGUUAAUGUUUGACGUCAGGCAAAACGUCUUCAGCCACCGUAGGAUGGAGAGCCGCUGGUUGGCAUUUUUGACAGCGGUGUCUGUGUGGGUGUACCAGGAAAGG